rnacentral:antisense_RNA from 1 species
CUCAAUGGUGAGCUGGAUAGGGGAGCUGAAAGGCUCGCCGGUUGGUUGUAUCCGGUAGUAUCAACCCUGUUCAGUUCACCACCAAU